GACGAACGCUGGCGGCGUGCUUAACACAUGCAAGUCGAACGGAAAGGCCCUGCUUUUGUGGGGUGCUCGAGUGGCGAACGGGUGAGUAACACGUGAGUAACCUGCCCCUGACUUUGGGAUAACUUCAGGAAACUGGGGCUAAUACCGGAUAGGAGCUCCUGCUGCAUGGUGGGGGUUGGAAAGUUUCGGCGGUUGGGGAUGGACUCGCGGCUUAUCAGCUUGGUGGUUGGGUAGUGGCUUACCAAGGCUUUGACGGGUAGCCGGCCUGAGAGGGUGAACUGCCACGUUGGGCCUGAGCUGCGGCACAGACUCCUACGGGAGGCAGCAGUGGGGUAUGUUGCACAAGGGGCGGAGGCCUGAUGCAGCAACGCCGCGUGCGGGAUGUCGGCCUUCGGGUUGUAAUCCGCUUUCGCCUGUGACGAGGCGUGAGUGACGGUAAUGGGUAAAGAAGCACCGGCUAACUACGUG
rnacentral:rRNA from 1 species